rnacentral:sRNA from 1 species
CUAUGAGGAUGAGAACCUCCGGGGGCAGGGAGGUUCGACUCGAGCGAAGCGAGAGAACGUUGCGCCAGCAACGGCCCGCAGGGCGAGCCACGAAGUGGCGAGUAAUCCUCUGGCACCGACCA